AUAUAUAUAUUGGUGCUAUCCAAAUCCAAGAUUAGAUUUGUUUUGCAGGAAUUUAUGUUAUUUAAAUCUAAUAUUCUCACCCUCUUAAGCUAUCUAUCUAUCAACUUUAGAAAGAAUUUAAUCUUCGUAAAACUUUUCGUGAACUGAUGAGAGACAAAAAAGAAAUAUAAAAAAAAAAAAAAACAAUCCAUAGGUUGAAUAAAAAUCAUGUACAUGUUAUCACUUUGAGCUUGCAAUUGCUAGAUACAAAUUCUUGGAAUCAUCCAUUAUGCUUGACAAUCCCCUUGCAAAUUUGGGGUGGUAGGUUUGGAAAAUUAAAGUCUACACCGUGGAGCCAUUUAGGCUUUUAAUUAUAUUCCUUUUCCUUGCAAUACCCGUUAGCUGAAAAGAUAAGGCUCAUCUCUCAUCUCCAUUACAGCUCUGUUUUUGCACUACCAUUGCCUUCUCUACCUGCUUGUUCUCCAGUUCUUGUCACCGACAUCAAAUUUCUUUUCCUAAGACAACAAGCUAUGGCUGUUGCGCUUGUUUCUGUUCUUGUGGGUUCCAUGUUGGAAAACUUGUCUUCGGUGCUUCUCAAAGAGGCUGGACUUGCCCAGGGCCAGCAAACUGAUCUUGAAAGCACACUGAGUAUGCUUCAGGCUGUUCUCCAUGAUGCAGAGAAGAAGCAAUUGAAGAGUGAGGCUGUGAGGAAUUGGCUGACAAAGCUCAAGGCUGCAGCUUAUGAUGCAGAGGAUGUGGUUGACGAGUUUGCUAUAGAAGUUCAAAGGCGUAAGCAGCCAAGAGGUUUGAUAAACCCUUUACAACGCUUCUUCUCUCUUGAUCAAAAUCCACUUAUUUUUCGAGUAUAAUUGGCACACAAGUUGAAGAACGUAACGGACAGAUUGGAUGCUAUUGCCAAGGAGAGACAGUUACAUCUAAUAGCAGGAGGUGGGUACAUCGAAGCUGAUAGUUCUGAUGGGUGUCAGACCUGGUCACUGGUUGAUGAGUCGGAAAUUUAUGGAAGAGCUCAGGAGAAAGAAGAGCUAAUGAAGUCAAUGGUAAACAAUUCAGGCAAUCUCUCUAUUAAUGCUAUAUGUGGAAUGGGAAAUUUGAUCUUACAAUCUGGAUAUGCGUCUCUGAUGAUUCCACUGUAGAAAAGUUGACAAGAGCCAUGAUAGAGUCUAUUCAAAACAGCCCUUGUGACAUAGAAGGGUUGGAUAACUAGCAGCGAUGUCUUCGAGAAAAGCUAAGUGGAAAGAUGUUUUUGAUUGUGUUAGAUGACGUGGGGGAUGAUUUCAAUGAUAAGUGGAGUAAAUCGAAGGUCUUACUAAAGUGUGGAGCAAAAGGUAGUGCUGUUCUAGCAAUUACCUUUAUUGAGAUGGUUGCUCUCAAAAUGGAACCAAUUUUAUCUAUCAGAUCUGAUUCUUGGCUUUUGUUCGAGCGCUUUGCAUUUGGGAUGAGAAACGGAGAAGAAUAUGCUAACUUGGAGGCCACUAGAAGAGCAAUAGUUGACAAUUGUGGCAGGGUUCCUUUAGCUAUAAAGUCAAUUGGAAGCCUUAUGCGCUCGAAGAAAAAGAAAAAUGCGCUUGAAGAAGCCUUCUUGAAUGUUGUGUGUUUGAGAAGGAUAGGAUGCUGGAGAUUUCUAGAAUGGUCCGUCAUGUGGCUUUUUUGAAGAAAGGUGGUGCUCCUGCUCAUUAACAUCUCAGUGCCCAAUCAUUGCGCGCAUCUAUUCUGUGUUUAUCCUGAUGCCCACAGAAUGGGUUGGAGAAAAACACGGCAUUUGUUGUUUACUAGACAAAAUCAUAUAACAAUCUUAGUAGUGAAUAAUUCUUGUGAGGUCGAGGCAUUGCCCCAAUCCAUUUAUAGUUUGAAACAUCUAAGAUAUCUUGAUUUCUCCAGGUCCUCCAUCAAAAGGCUACCUGAAUCAAUCACCUCUCUUCCAAAGUUGCAAACUCUGAACUUGUGUUACUGCAAGCAGCUUCGUAUUUUACCCAAAUAUAUGAAGUGUGUGAAAAGUCUCGUGUAUCUUCGCAACGAAGGUUGUAUUUCACUUCCUUCUAUGCCUGCUGGAAUGGGACAACUGACUUACCUACGAAGGGUUGAUCUCUUUAUUGUAGGCAAGAAUGAGGGUCAUCAGAUAGCUGAGCCGGAAAGGCUGAAUUAUACUGGUGGUGGUUUGAUCAUCUCGGAUCCUGGUAAUGUUAAAGAUUUAACAGAUGCCAAGAGUGCUGAUUUGAUGAGAAAGACAAUUCUCCAAUCAUUGACUUUAUCUUGGCAUGGGAAUGGAGAUUACCUUUCCGGGAUCCUAUUAACAUGAGCAGAAGUAUCUAAAAACAGUGUUAUCCAUGAAAAUACAGAGAAGAUCCUUGAUGAGCUUCAACCCCAUUCAAACCUGAAGCAAUUGAAGAUAAUUGGAUAUGAAGGUUCAAGAUUCUCAAGUUGGAUGAUGAACUUGGAGCUACCCAAUCUUGUUAGUGUCUCACUUGAAUGGGGUGGCAAUUGUGCACAACUUCCACCAUUAGGGAAACUGCAGUUCCUUGAGUAUCUUUGAUUAUGUGGAAUGGAUGGUGCGAAGAGUAUUGACAAUAAUUUGUAUGGAGAUGGGGAAAAUCCAUUCCCUUCAUUGGAGACUCUGUAUCUUUUGGACAUGGAGAAGUUGGAGCAAAGGGCAACAGUCGGUAGAUGUCGGAGUCUACCUUGCCUUCAACAUUUAGCUGUGUAUGAUUGGCCCAUGUUGAUCGAAAUACCAAUUAUACCUUCAGCGAAAAAAUUAAAAAUCAGAGCAUGCAAUGCUACAUUAGUGAGGUCAGUUAGGAAUUUGUUCGUAUUGAAUUGAUUCCCAACCUGAUGCUUCUUCUUGAUGGAUUUUUGCAAAACCAUACGCUCCUUGAGCACUUAGAAAUUAAAAAUCUUAGAGACCUUCAGUCCUUGUCAAAUCAAAUAUUAUAUAAACCUUCUGCUCUAAGUUCCUUAAGAAUUCAGCAUUGUAGUGAACUUGAAAGCUUGCCUGAAGAAGGUCUCCGGAACCUCAAUUCUUUGGAGAACUUGUCUAUACUGGGUUGUCAUCGAUUAAGUUCUCUGCCAAUGAAUGGAUUGGAUGGCUUGUCUUCCUUUCGUCACUUACAUAUUGAAGAUUGUAUGAAGUUUGCAUCUCUAUCCGAUGGAGUGCAAUAUCUGACUAAGCUGGAGGCAUCUGACUUAGUUAAUUGUCCAGAGCUUGCCAAAGAGUAUCCAAUAUCUCACUUCUCUCCAAUUUUUGACGAUUCGUGGUUGCAUGGGAUUGUUUUGUCUGUCAGAUCAGAUUGGAUAUCUCAGGUCUCUUUAUGGCUUAUCGAUUAAUUAUCAGUAAUUGUCCAGAUCUGGAGAGGAGGUGUGAGAAAGAGGAGAGGACUGGCCCAAGAUAGCUCGUAUCUCUAACAUUUUUAUCAAAGGUAAUAUGAUCCAAGGAUCCUUUAUUUGUAGGGUUUAUGAAGAUUAGAAUGAUUGAGCCUUUUGGGAUUGUGAUAGAGAGAUGUCAAUUCCACGGGAAUAUAGGUGUAAGAGAGAGGGGAGGAGAGGACUGGUCUGAGAUUGCCCACAUUGCUUACAUUGAAGCUUGAUCAUUUCCUAUUUCUGGUGCCUAUACAUCUCAUACAUAAUCUUCGACUCUGGUGCUUGUCUUUGCCAAUAUCUCAUCAGAGCCAUCUAGUUCUUGCUACUCUUGUGAGGCACGGUAGGUGCGCAUUGCUGGUGGCAUCUUUCUUUACCGGUUGAUAGCGGUGGAGAAUGCAACACUACAUAUUAUUCAAAGUUAUCCAGCAGUGCAUCUUUCGUUUUCAUGGGCCUCAUAUUGGAGCUGAUUCGAUUGUGUUUCUGAUAAAUCCAACUCGUCAUAUUGCCAGAGAAAAGCUGAUGUGGUUAAGAAGUAGAGCCAUAUGAAUCUGCACUAUGGAUUAUGAGAACUACUUCUGGUCUAGGGAACUCAAUUAUGAGACUUCAUUAAGCCCUGCAUAUGAUACGGAACAUAUGAAGAUGGUGUGCCAAGCCGUUCUUCUCAGCUGCGGUGGCCACAUGAAACACUUCCGAGAUUAUGAGCGAACUAUGGUUGUAUAAAUCCUGAACUUUUCCAAAAUUUGUAGGCACCUCAGCAUAGAACGAUGGAUGAUUAUAGGACAGCUGGAUAUGAUCCCCAGCCAAGCAGUUUGGAGAUCAGAUUGAUCCAAAGCCAGCAUGACAUUCGCCACCCACUAGUUGAAUAUAAAGCUGAAAAACAACCCAGAAAUGGGAUAAUUUAUGCAAUGGAUAUGUGAUUUAUUUA